UACGCUGCCUAACAGUUAAAUUAUGUGCCUAUCUUUAUCCAAUUUAAAGAAAAAACGAAGACAGAUAUAUGAUUUAACUAUCAGAUAGCUUAUCAAGAGAUUAAUAAGAUAAUUAAUUAAUUUAUAAUGGAAUAAUCGACCCUAACUUUGUGAAAGAAAAUCGCAGCGCAACCUGCGAAUGCGUAUAUUAAAGAAGAAAGUCCGCACUUUUAAAUGAUAUAAAUGACAUUUGUCUGUAAUUUUUUGUUUAUAUGGUGUAAUGCAAUAAAUUUCAUUAAAUAUUUUAGCAUUUGACGGGUCUCGUUCUAUAUUCAUGUAACAUUAUAAAAUAUAAGUAAAUAUUAUAUUUGACAAUACGUAUCUGUGUGAAAACUAGAUGCUUAAAAAUUCUUUCCAAAGUUACAACCUGUUGAAUUUGAUCAAUUUUUCAUAAUUGCUAAAGAUGUUCCUCUAAGUUUUAUCCAUUUUUAGCUUUCAAUAGCACGACCGAACUCAUAAGAUUGCAUAGACUUUUGUCACAGUAUCAGGCUUCUUGUUUUCUACCAUUCAAUAUCAGACUUCUCUUUGUAAAGCAAGCAUUGUGUGAAACGUCAUAUAUAUAUGUAAAAAAUACAACCUGUCAGAGGCCAUUCGUUCCAAUGAGAUUACAGGUUAGGUGGCUCAUGCAAUUUAAAAACUCCGAAUAAAUGGAUUUGAUGAGUUGUCAAGUUAUAUACACGGGACAAAUCGCGACGUGCUGUUCAUAAAAACACAAAAAAUAGGAGUAAAAAGCUUUAUUCGAAUCGAUGGCGUCCGUCACAAUGGUUAUGCGUGUUAGCCGGUUCGCUUCCCAAAUGUGCAAGCGAAACAAACGGCUUGACGACUAUUUGAGAUACGCGAUCAGACACAGUUGCACUCAAGUCAGUCGCAAGGUAUUAGAACGCUUGCAUGAUCGGAGCGUGCUGUACGUGAGCGGCAACGAGACGUCCGAUUUCUUGCAAGGAUUAAUCACGAACGAUAUGAAGCACCUGGAGGAAGGUGCCUCUAACAUCUAUACUCUGUUCUUGAAUAUUAGAGGCAGGGUGAUGUACGAUGCUAUCGUGUACAAGAGCGAGGAGAGCAAUUCGUACUACAUAGAAUGCGAUUCGCAGAUCGCUGAAUCCCUACAGCGGCACCUGAGACUAUAUCGCGUGAAGCGCAAGAUAGACGUGGAGCACGUAGGCGACAGACUCAAUGUCUGGACGAUGUUCGAUUCAAACAGCUGUUUCGACUACAAAAACACGCCGGACGAGAACGGCAAACGCAAAUUGGAAGGCAUGAUCUUUCCGUGCGGCACGCUGAACAACAAAGCCAGCAAAUUCAUCGGCAACAUCAUGAUCUAUGAGGAUCCCAGGUUACCCGACCUGGGUCUCAGGAUCCUGGCCGAGUCGCAGAUCGGAAUGCAUGAAAUAAUAAAGAACUUGAACAACGACGUAAUCCCGUCGGAGAGCGUCGGCGAUUACAAAGCGUUUCGAUAUAAACUAGGAGUGGGCGAAGGUGUGCACGAUCUACCACCCGGGAAAGCGUUGCCCCUGGAGAUCAAUUGUGAUUAUCUGCACGGUGUCAGCUUCCACAAGGGCUGCUACAUCGGUCAAGAAUUGACGGCGCGCACGUAUCAUACCGGAGUGGUGAGAAAACGGUUGAUGCCCUUGGCGUUCGAGAACGUCGCGGUUAAGCCGCUCGCGUACGACGAGAAGAUCCUCGACCAGUCCGGCAACGUAGUGGGCAAGUUCCGGGGCUGCACCGAAAAGUACGGAUUAGGCUUGAUGCGUAUUAACGAAUCUCUUAGCGCUCAGCAGCUGAAUGUGGCGGGUAUGAACGUGAAGGUGGUGAAACCUGCUUGGUGGCCUCAGGAGUCUCAGAAGGAGAUGGUCUCUGUCAAAGACACGUAGUAACGCGGAGAGCCUUUGCGAAAAUCGUGUAAUAUGUCGACGGGUUGUGGUUGCAAAAGCACAGAGAAUCGUAAUAUUCACGACAGAAGAUUCUGCUGACACGACGAACGAACUCGAGAUCAGCAAGCGAAGCGAGCAGGAUAGCGCAGCAAAUCAGCAUACGGCGCCGAAGACGGGCGGGACUUUUGCGUGCUCUUUCUGUUCUUUGAAGGAACACUACGAUUACAAGG